rnacentral:rRNA from 1 species
CACGCUGUAAACGAUGAGUACUAGGUGUCGGGGGUUACCCCCUUCGGUGCCGCAGCUAACGCAUUAAGUACUCCGCCUGGGAAGUACGCUCGCAAGAGUGAAACUCAAAGGAAUUGACGGGGACCCGAACAAGUAGCGGAGCAUGUGGUUUAAUUCGAAGCAACGCGAAGAACCUUACCUAAGCUUGACAUCCCAAUGACAUCUCCUUAAUCGGAGAGUUCCCUUCGGGGACAUUGGUGACAGGCGGUGCAUGGUUAUCGUCAGCUC